UACGUAGGGCGCAAGCGUUAUCCGGAAUUAUUGGGCGUAAAGAGCUCGUAGGCGGUUUGUCGCGUCUGCCGUGAAAGUCCGGGGCUCAACUCCGGAUCUGCGGUGGGUACGGGCAGACUAGAGUGCGGUAGGGGAGACUGGAAUUCCUGGUGUAGCGGUGGAAUGCGCAGAUAUCAGGAGGAACACCGAUGGCGAAGGCAGGUCUCUGGGCCGCAACUGACGCUGAGGAGCGAAAGCAUGGGGAGCGAACAGG
rnacentral:rRNA from 1 species